GCGGAGACGGACGUUGCCAGAAUAUCUCCCUGUUAAGUCCGUGUUUCUUUUUUUCUCUUUUUUUCUGUGUUUGCGUGUGUGUGUGCCCACGUCAAUGAACUGACCAUUAGGAUAACCACAAAGCAUAGUUCCCCCGGUGCUAUGAAGGCGUGGACUCCCAUUUGAAACGUGAAAAGUGAAAAAUAACGUGGCCUUUGACUCGCGACUGGAAGAGUGACUGUUGCUGUGCCCCGUGGACCUGCUGCUGCUGCUGCUGCUGUGGCAGUGUGCGGUGCCUGUGGAGUGUGGUGCUUGGUGGAGGCGCAGAGCGAGGGAGGGGCGCGGCGCUGCUCUCCCGGGUAGAAAGCUGCUGAAGGAGAUGCCAUGCGCAGCCAGCCACCCCACCUCUCUCUCUCUCUCUCUCUCUCUCUCUCUCUCUCUCUCUCUCUCUCUCUCUCUCUCUCUCU